GAUGAACGCUAGCGAUAGGCUUAACACAUGCAAGUCGAGGGGCAGCACAAGGUAGCUUGCUAUCUGGGUGGCGACCGGCGCACGGGUGCGUAACGCGUAUGCAACUUGCCCUAUACAGGAGGAUAACCCGUCGAAAGACGGACUAAUACUGCGUAUGCUCACAACUUGGCAUCAAGUGGUGAGGAAAGAAAUUCGGUAUAGGAUAGGCAUGCGUCCCAUUAGCUUGUUGGUGAGGUAACGGCUCACCAAGGCAACGAUGGGUAGGGGAACUGAGAGGUUUAUCCCCCACACUGGUACUGAGACACGGACCAGGCUCCUACGGGAGGCAGCAGUGAGGAAUAUUGGUCAAUGGGCGCGAGCCUGAACCAGCCAAGUCGCGUGAAGGAUGACUGUCUUAUGGAUUGUAAACUUCUUUUAUACGGGAAUAACAAGAGUCACGUGUGACUCCCUGCAUGUACCGUAUGAAUAAGCAUCGGCUAACUCCGUG
rnacentral:rRNA from 1 species